rnacentral:lncRNA from 1 species
GUCUCUCAGAGAAGGUGGGGGAACACUCCGAGAAGGUGAUAUGAGAACACUCAGAGAAGGUGACAUGAGCACACCCAGAGCAGGAGAUAUGAGAACACUCAGAGAAGGUGAUAUGAGAACACUCAGAGCAGGUGAGGGAACACUCAGAGCAGGUGAGGGAACACUCAGAGCAGGUGAGGGUACACUCAGAGCAGGUGAGGGUACACUCAGAGCAGGUGAUAUGAGAACACUGAGAGCAGGUGAGGAAACACUCAGAGCAGGUGAGGGAACAUUCGGAGCAGGUGAGGGUACACUCAUAGCAGGUGCUAUGAGAACACUCAGAGAAGGUGAGGGAACACUCGGAGCAGGGGAUAUGAGAACACUCAGAGAAGGUGAUAUGAGAACACUCAGAGAAGGUGGGGGAACACUCAGAGAUGGUGAUAUGAGAACACUCAGAGAAGGUGAUAUGAGAACACUCAGAGAAGGUGAUAUGAGAACACUCAGAGAAGGUGAUAUGAGAACACUCAGAGCAGGUGAUAUGAGAACACUCAGAGAAUGUGGGGGAACACUCAGAGAAGGUGAUAUGAGAACACUCAGAGAAGGUGGGGGAACACUAAGACCAGGUGAUAUGAGAACACUCAGAGCAGGUGAUAUGAGAACACUCAGAGAAGGUAUAUGAGAACAAUCAGAGCAGGUGAUAUGAGAACACUCAGAGCAGGUGAUAUGAGAACACUCAGAGAAGGUAUAUGAGAACACUCAGAGAAGGUAUAUGAGAACAAUCAGAGCAGGUGAUAUAAGAACACUCAGAGAAGAUGAUUUGAGAACACUCAGAGCAGGUGAGGGAACACUCAGAGCAGGUGAGGGAACACUCAGAGCAGGUGAGGGUACACUCAUAGCAGGUGCUAUGAGAACACUCAGAGAAGGUGAGGGAACACUCGGAGCAGGGGAUAUGAGAACACUCAGAGAAGGUGAGGGAACACUCGGAGCAGGGGAUAUGAGAACACUCAGAGAAGGUGAUAUGAGG